GCCUGAGGUCAUGUAGUUACCAAGUAACACAGAAAAGUUUUUGGUCCAAGUCUGGCUGAUUCCAGAGCCCCCAGGAAGGGAGGAGGCUUGCACAGACUCCCUGAGGUCAGCCACGCAGAGAAAAAUAAGAGCAACAGUGGAGAAGUAUUAAGAAGAUCAUUAAUGCCAUUCUUCUGAAUAGCAGGUUGGAAGAGAGAUGUCCAGAAGCCACAUAAAAGUCCUGGGGCCCCAUUUGUCUUCACUGUAUAAAGAAAAUCAGUCUUUACCUGUUUGAAAUACCUACUCAAAUAUUUAUGGAUGGAAUGAUGUGACAUCAGGAAUUUGCUGUAAAAAUCACCAACAAAGCUAAGUAAAGGUGGGAUAAAACAAGAAUGGCAGAAUGUUAACUUGGAGCCGGUGACAGGUACAUGGGGAUUCACUGCAGUAUGUUUCCAACUUCUGUGUAUGUUUGAAAAAUUUAAAGUUAAAAAUAAAUACACUGAUCACCUUAGUAGUUAGUUUCUCACACAUAUACUCUUUUUUUUUCUUUUCAGUUUUUUCCUUUUCUCUUUUUUUCACUUGCAAAAGCAGUAGGUUCUCGUAAAAAUGUAAAACAAUACAGAGAGCUAUAACUCCACUCUCCAUUAAUACUAGUGAAGACUUGUGUGUUUCUUAUAACCACCUCCCUAUGCAGGAGCCUGCCUCCAUUUCCCCCACUCAGGCCAGCUGCUUGCCUAAUUCAGCAAACUGGUGUCCUGGACCAAGUGCGGAGCAGGGAGCUAUUGUCACAGAGAUGAAGGGCCUGGGAGAGGGGGUAACUGGGUGCAUCUCGCCAUGCGGUGCCCACACUGGCCUUUUCCAGGGGUUGCCUCAAGGCAUUGGCCAACUUGGGGGAAGGUAGAUGCAUAAACAGUCACAUCAUAUUGAGUAUAAGAAGUCAGAGAGAGAUGCAUAAAAAACCUUUGGUGACACAGAGAAGAAAGCACUCAGGGUGGUUUCCCCAGGAGAUGAUAUUUGAACUGGAUCUUGGAGAAAGAGUAGAAUUCACCAGGCAGAGCUGGUGGAAGACUUUCUAGGUGCAGGAGAAAGCUCUAAAAUUCCCAAGGGCAAGCUAUGUUCCAGGAAUUGGGAACUCUGAGCAGAGAGGGGGCAUGCGAUGGGGGUGAUGGGAGAGCAGGUUGGAGGGUAGCUGGUGGGCCAGAAUGAAGGGUCUGCUGACACCACGGCGAGGGGGUUGGUCCUUGUCCUCCAGACAGUGACACUGCAGAGCCAGGGAAAAGAGCCAGGCCAGACUGCACUUGGGAAGAACACUUGGGGGAAGAGUAUUUGGAUGAUGCCACUGGAGAUGGACAACAGAGACUAAGUUCUGAAGAGUUCAGAAGCAGAUUGGACAGGAAUUGGCAACUAACUGGACAUGAACUCUGUCUGCAGGUAAGCAAGGCAUUCCCACGACUUGACAAGAAGGUAUUGAACUCCCACCAACCAUGAGAUAAUGAGGUCAGUAUGGAUAGGAA